GUGCUCGCUUCGGCAGCACAUAUACUAAAAUUGGAACGAUACAGAGAAGAUUAGCAUGUAUACCACAAAUUGUGCUCAGGUUAAAUAACACUUUUCU